GGCAGGGCCCUGCCCAGAGGCAGAUGCUGAGGCCUCCACUUCCAGUCCUGGAGGGACCCCAAGCCUCACAGUGAGUGCUGCGGAUGCAGAGCCCUCGUCCCUCGAGUUACCCGGCAUUAUACCACACACCUCUCUGCAUCAUGCUAGCAGGAAGCACUGCUCUGUGACAGACAGAGGACCCCAGCUGCUGAUGAUGCCAUGCUCGAUGGGGUACUUCAGGGUCAGGAUGCCUCUCUCGCUCUGGGCCUCGCCACCCACAUAGAAGUCCUUCUGACCCAUGCCCACCGUCAUGCCCUGGUGUCUGGGGCACCCCACGAUGGAGGGGAAGACGGCCCAGGGGGCAUCGUCGUCGGUGAAGCUGGCCUUGCACAUGCCAGAGGUGUUGUCUAUGACAAGCAAGGUGAUAUUAUCAUCCAUGCUUAAAGCUAUUGGUUUUCCUGGAAGCGCAGUCAGCCCUCCAUAUGUGCCUGUUCCACACUUGCGGAUUCUACCAACUCCAGGUGGAAAACACAGUUUGACAAAGGCUGUGUCUGCACUGAAUAUGUCCAUGUUCUUUCCUUGUUAUUGUUCCCUAAACAAUACAGUAUAGCAACUAUUUAUGUGGCAUUUACAUCACAUUAG